rnacentral:rRNA from 1 species
AGUGGCGGACGGGUGAGUAACACGUGAGCAACCUGCUUCAGAGGGGAUACCGUUGGAAACGACGUUAAUACCGCAUAACGUAUCGGUACCGCAUGAUACUGAUACCAAAGGAGCGAGUCCGCUGAAAAGAUGGGCUCGCGGCUGAUUAGGAUAGUUGGUGGGGUAACGGCCUACCAAGUCAACGAUCAGUAGCCGGACUGAGAGGUUGAACGGCUACAUUGGGACUGAGACACGGCCCAGACUCCUACGGGAGGCAGCAGUGGGGAGUAUUGCGCAAUGGGGGCAACCCUGAACCGCAGCAACGCCGCGUGUGGGAAGAAGGUCUUUCGGAUUGUAAACCAUUGUCUUCGGUGACGAUAAUGACGGUAGCCGAGGAGGAAGCUCCGGCUAACUACGUGCCAGCCGCGGC